CGCGUCGCUCCAGGGAGGAGCUAAAUGUGUAGUUAUAAGAAGCUUCAGAGUUACGAAUUCUUGCAUAAUACAGUAGCUGCUAUUAAUGGAGGCAUGGGUAUAUAGAGGAAGACAUCCAUAUAACUACAGAUUGAAACUACAGUUCGCGGUUUAUUUGCUGCCUGCAACUGUGGUAGCAGAACUUUUUAAAAUGAGCGUAUUCUGCAUUUUGUUUUAUAUGUAUGUCACAAAUGACAUCGUGUCUAGCGUUAUUGAACAUUAUUGAAAAUGCAUUAUUUAAACUGGUUGUUGCGAGCCAGCCCUGCUGUGUGAACAUCCAGUAACAUCGUGGAAGUAUCGAUGUAAAACAGUUUUGAGGUUCGGAUAUGAAGAGACUGGAGUACUGCAUGGAGAGAAGGAACAAUAGGAGAUGCAGAGUAAAGGAUCAAAGAGAUACAAGGCCAUGUUAGCAAGGUUGAGGAGGCUAUGAUUACACGGAAGGAGGGAAAAUUAGAAUAUGAUAUAAGGGACUAUAAAAAUGGCACCAUUUUCUCAUGGCAAAGGAAAACGAGAAGGGGAAGGUCCAGAAGCUUUCGUAAUGGCAACAGAUCCCACAUACUACAUGAUUCUUCAGCUUCUUCGGCUGAGAUAGCAUCUAAUGGAAAGAAGAAUUUUUCAUUCGAGGAGGCCAUUUUGAAUGAAGGCACUGUAGAAGAACAACCAUCCUUGGCACAAGUCCAAACAAGGGAUCAGAAAUGGCAGGGAACGAAUGCAUUUGGUGGAGGUGGAAACAAUAGAAGAAGAAAGAAUUAAUGACAUUUGUAUCGAUUUGAAUGUCAAUUCUGUAACUAAUAACAAUGAGGCUUGCUUUUUAUCCAGGUAUGUGGCACAUGGGGCUGUUCAAAGUGAUCGUAUGGAUUUAAAUAUUGUGAACCUUUCUGUUUGAAUGUAAGCAAUGAUGUUGAAGCUUUAUUAUUGAAGGGCACUAAGUUUGUUCCUACAUUUUUUCCAUCAUUAGCUGAUGUCAUUUUGGAAAUAAGUCAUUUUUGUAGGAAAUUACAUUUAAAGGUGUUUUUUUCAAAAUUGGGUGCCUAAUGACAAUGCUAAUGAAGAGGUUAAUAUUGUAAAUGAGGGGGACAAUUUGAGUAUUUGUUCUGAUGAUUCACUUUUGAAUGUGUCUUUAUAUGUCAAUGAGUUUUGUGAUGAGUUGACUGAUCUUCUGGUGGGGGAAGCAGAGGAGAAUGCAAACAGGCAUGAUGUGUGUUUUUGUACAGGAUAUGGUAGGUUAACAGUUCCACGGGUCCCUCAUUGUAGUGACUUUUUUCCACCGAAAUUAUCAGCAAUUGUGCAGCAAUUUGAAAAUGCCUUGUAUAGAGAGGUAGAAUUAGAAUACAAUAGAUUUACAAAAAGAUACAGGACAUAUAAUUCAAAUAAAUGUAAGUGGUUGGUGCUUAACAGCUUGAGAGAUGUAAAUGAUAAAAAAUUAUGUGUACACUCAAGCCGAUAAAGGUGGAAAUUGUGUCAUUUUACCUAUUGCCAAGUACAAUAACAUGGCUGAAGAAUUGUUGAGGGAUCAAUCUGUAUAUACUUUGGUGUCGGAAGAACUUGUUUCCACUUUCAGUGGUAAAUUAUUGGAUUUAUUGGAAAGGGGCGAAAGCUUGGGUUUUUUUACCCAUUCGGAUGUCAAGAAACCUUUUGUGAAAAACCCUAUGGAUGCCUUUUUUUUUAAUUAUACCCCAAAUACACAAGAAUUUGCACAAUCCGCCGAGUAGGCUAAUAGUAUCAGGGAAGGGCUCUUUUUUGCAAAAUGUGGGCAUUUUUUUGGGCCAUCAGUUAAAAGCCUACUUGAGCAAGAUUACUUCUCAUAUAAAAAAUGGUAAAGAGUUAUGUGAUUUGGUGAGAGGUAUGAAAUGGAAUACUGGAUACUGUUGAGCAACAGUGGAUGUGAAGGCCCUUUAUACGAGCAUUAGAAAUGUUUGGGGUUUGGAAGCAGUUGGCAAGAUGAUGGGGGAGGGUCCACGUACAAGCUUUAUAUUACAGUUAUUGGAGUUUUCUUUGACACAUAACUGUUUCAGAUUUAACAAGCAGUAUUUUCUACAGAAAGAGAGCACUGUGAUGGGGCAUCAU